CAUAUCCACUAUGCCAUGGAAGCUCUCCCUAUCUGCUGACUGGAUCAAGGAGGAAUAUCUGGAGUGGAGUUUCAUGAUAUACCUCCUUGACCUUUUCUGGUCUGAGUCAAGGUUUUGCCCUGCAAAUGGCAACAGCUCCAAGAAUCUGUCUGUGAACUCCUCUACACCCAUCUCAUCAGUCUGCCUCAACUGCUCAAACUCUAUCAUCUUCAGCUCCCUUGAACUAUCUGGGAAAGCCCAUCCUGCAAACUCGUUUGCAAACUCCUCCCAAGACAUG
rnacentral:lncRNA from 1 species